AUUUAUAUAGUUUAACAUAAAACAUUACACUUUCACUGUAAAAAUAAAGGACCUUUUAUGAAUA
rnacentral:tRNA from 1 species